AUCGAAGUCCCGUCACCUGGAUCGCUACAUUCUUUAUAAGCUGCGCCCAAGCCUCCCUCGCUCCUCUUAGUAUCUCCACCAAAUAGCGCCUCAACGCUGACCUUGGAUACAUGCAGUUCUUGGCCGAAGUUCAACUGCGGCUGCGUUUUCCGACGACUGCGACAAGCCAUCCGUCCCAAUCCUGAGAAGCGCCUUCUCGCUCGGUGGAGUCUACACGGUUGAUACUGUCUCCAUCAGGCCUGCUACUACCACAGACUACUACUUUGCAAUCUUUCUGUAACAUCCUGUUGAUUGUGCUUGUGCUGAUUGAACGAGUGUUUCUGCGAAGAGUGUUCCAACUCCUCAUCUCACCAAG